GACGAACCGUGCGAACGUUGUUCGGAAUCACUGGGCUUAAAGGGCGCGUAGGCGGGUCACCAAGUCUGGGGUGAAAUCUUUCGGCUCAACCGGAAAAUUGCCUUGGAUACUGGUGGUCUCGAGGGAGGUAGGGGCAUGUGGAACUUCCGGUGGAGCGGUGAAAUGCGUUGAUAUCGGAAGGAACGCCGGUGGCGAAAGCGACGUGCUGGACCUCUUCUGACGCUGAGUGCGCGAAAGCUAGGGGAGCAAACUGG
rnacentral:rRNA from 1 species